UACGAAGGGGCUAGCGUUGCUCGGAAUCACUGGGCGUAAAGCGCACGUAGGCGGCUUGUUAAGUCAGGGUGAAAUCCUGGAGCUCAACUCCAGAACUGCCUUUGAUACUGCGACUUGAGUUCGGGAGAGGUGAGUGGAACUGCGAGUGUAGAGGUGAAAUUCGUAGAUAUUCGCAAGAACACCAGUGGCGAAGGCGGCUCACUGGCCCGGAACUGACGCUGAGACGCGAAAGCGUGGGGAGCAAACAGGG
rnacentral:rRNA from 1 species